rnacentral:rRNA from 1 species
AGACGUCUACAUUAGAUACCCGCGUAGUCCCAGCCGUAAACUAUGCGCGUUAGGUGUAUCGGUGACCACGAGUUACCGAGGUGCCGAAGGGAAACCGUGAAACGUGCCGCCUGGGAAGUACGGUCACAAGGCUGAAACUUAAAGGAAUUGGCGGGGAGCACCACAACAGGUGGAGCCUGCGGUUUAAUUGGACUCAACGCCGGGAAGCUCACCGGAUAGGACAGCAGAAUGAUUGCCGGGCUGAAGACCCUGCAUGACUAGCUG